rnacentral:rRNA from 1 species
UACGGAGGGAGCUAGCGUUGUUCGGAAUUACUGGGCGUAAAGCGCACGUAGGCGGCUUUGUAAGUUAGAGGUGAAAGCCCGGGGCUCAACCCCGGAAUUGCCUUUAAGACUGCAUCGCUUGAAUCCGGGAGAGGUGAGUGGAAUUCCUGGUGUAGCGGUGGAAUGCGCAGAUAUCAGGAGGAACACCGAUGGCGAAGGCAGCUCGCUGGGACGGUACUG